GCGGGUCUGCGGUGAGGUCGGGAUGCGCUCUGCCCGCAUCGAACGGAAGCGUUCGUUCGACUCCGAAGGCCCGCU
rnacentral:tRNA from 1 species